UCCCAUUACUUCCACCUCCCAUGAGGACUGCACCUGCGGCAGCGAUUUUAUGUGAACUUGGAUUACUGUAUGGAAAUGGAGAAUUAUAAUGUAGCACCUUCAACAGAAAGACAAUCAAAGGUAUACAUCCUGACAGGUUCAGACCCCUGAAGGAUCUGUUAGACAAUGUCCAACACUCCAGUGAAAGAAAAUACAGAGUGAGAAAGUGUGGGAAUCAUAAAAGAAGGCAGAACCAAAAGACAGAGGGAUCUUGGGCCAUGAGUCACAGCAAGGAAAGCCUCCCACCAAACAUCUGCACUGGACUCCUACAGGAACAAGAAAUGAACUAUCGUGUUCAGCCCCUGAGACUUGGGCUUAACAUGAUUUUCACAUUGUCUACCCUACCUAAUAGAGCAGAGAUGUAAAUAUUAUUCUUAUUUUAGAGGUGUGAUGCCUCAGCUGCAAUGGGUGAGAACUACUCCUCAUUUAUUCUCUUCCAAGGCAAUAAAAGAGAAUGGACCAAAGACAGUCUGUCAUCACAUCUAGUCAAAAGAGCUAAUGUCGCAGUACAACUCUUCAAAAGAAAAAGAAAAAACAAGAAAAAAGUAAUAAACAGAUGUGUUCUGCUUGA
ensembl:lncRNA novel transcript